rnacentral:lncRNA from 1 species
CAGGUGCAGGUGCCUGGAGACAAAUCCAAGCAGAUGGCAGGUUGAGGAGAUCAUCUAUGGCUAAGGCGGUGCUGGAGUCAAGAGCAGAAGGGCCUGAUCCCAUGUUGAUUUCUCUGGAAGUGCUUACGUCCAGCAAGAGACACCAAGACCCGGCUGUGAGCCCUAGGUCGCCUCAUAGCAUCACUAAGCCUGGCGGAUGCAUCCAGGCGGCUCCUGAAUGUAGGGGCUGCUUUUCUCUUUGGAAAUGGCCCAGGAAACCAGGGCACUCUAUAGGAAAGUGGGUCUAAUAAACAGAAAUCUCACUGAAGUCUUCAUUCCCUUUAAGCCCAGCUAGUUAUACUGAAUUAAGCUUGAUUUUAGAAGCCAGAUAUUGUGAGUAAAAUUAAUAAAAAGUUAGCCACUUGGCUUACCCUGUUACCAGUGUGUCUUAUCUCGUUGGAGGGACUUCAAUACCGUGAGUCACG